UUCAACCACCUUAUACACAUUUCGACCGAUAAGUGGAUCACAAACUACACACCGUAAUGCGUAUCCUAUUUCAUAAUCUCGUUUGAAGAUAGAAGUUGGAUAUAUUUCUUGAAAUGAUAUACAUGCGAAUACUACUCUUGGCAGAUUCUUAUACUGGCUCUAGUGGCUGACAAAAUUUCAGUCACAUUGUAUCUUUAAGUCGAUCUAGACAACAAACUAAAUUUGAUAAAUGCAAUGUUUUUUAUCAUCCAAUAAAAUCCCAGAUGACCUCGAUACAUUAUGUGAGAACUUCCAGGUUUGGCAGGCACUUACACUGUAGUAGUCCAUUAUUGCCCGGGUUUUAAAACCAAAAACAAAAAAAAAUUAUUUAUUACAGCCAUGUACAAAAGCCCAAAUUAAUGGACCCAUUUAGCCUAAAUCCCAACUAAACCCAUAAACUGUUUAGCCCAAUAGCCCCUUUACAACCAGAUACCCAAAGACCCCGAGACCCAAUUAGCUUUAGCCUAAGUACCCAAGCCAGACCCAAAACUAGCAAGGCCCAUUGCCUAAACUAAAUCUGGAAACCCUAGGGUUUCCAGAAGCUUCGUGAAGCAAUUGAUGCGCCUCUUCACCUCACCCUGUAACUCCGGCCUCGAAUCACGCUGAAAUCAACGCAGAUCAGCGCCGUUUCACCUCGCGUCGUUUAAUUUACCCUUCAUCGGUGCCAUGAUUCCAGGCCCCGUGUCUCGUUGUAAUUGAGACGCAAAUCGACGACGUGAUCAAGUGCCCCUUCUUCUCCUCGAUCAUCUGCAAAAAUGGAAAGAAAAGACAGACACAAAACAAAUAUGGCAGGGAAUAUUUUUAAACAUGUAAAAAUGCUAUGUACAGUGGCUAUAAAAAGCCUGAUUCAGAACAAUGUAAGGGAUUUUUUUUAUAGAAUAAAAAGAGAAUACACACAUAUAUUCAGAGAACAAGGAAAUUCAAGCAGUUUCUUUAAAGGUGAUUUAAAUUUAUAUUCGGUGAUUUUAUUUUUUUAAAGUAUACAAAGCAAAAACUAUUGAUAUUUUAAAAAAGGGGGGGUUACUUGAGUCUUCGCUCGAAAGGUCGAGGGUUUUUAACCAUCCAGCCACCGUGUGUAGUGGCGCAUGUGGCGCGUGAGCAUGAGCUACUCGGUGGCCAAAGGCCGAGACUGAAACCCCUCUCUUCCCCUCUGCAGAGAAUUUCAAACUUUUUUUUAAGACUGGUGUAAAAUGAAUUUUAGACUUACGUUUUGACUUAUAUAACCUUCUAAAAACGGUGGCGUUUUAUUUAAUUCAUAAGCAUUAAAACGGCACCGUAUU
rnacentral:lncRNA from 1 species